rnacentral:rRNA from 1 species
GACGAACGCUGGCGGCGUGCCUAAUACAUGCAAGUUGAGCGCUGAAGGUUGGUACUUGUACCCACUGGAUGAGCAGCGAACGGGUGAGUAACGCGUGGGGAAUCUGCCUUUGAGCGGGGGACAACAUUUGGAAACGAAUGCUAAUACCGCAUAAAAACUUUAAACACAAGUUUUAAGUUUGAAAGAUGCAAUUGCAUCACUCAAAGAUGAUCCCGCGUUGUAUUAGCUAGUUGGUGAGGUAAAGGCUCACCAAGGCGAUGAUACAUAGCCGACCUGAGAGGGUGAUCGGCCACAUUGGGACUGAGACACGGCCCAAACUCCUACGGGAGGCAGCAGUAGGGAAUCUUCGGCAAUGGACGAAAGGCUGACCGAGCAACGCCGCGUGAGUGAAGAAGGUUUUCGGAUCGUAAAACUCUGUUGGUAGAGAAGAACGUUGGUGAGAGUGGAAAGCUCAUCAAGUGACGGUAACUACCCAGAAAGGGACGGCUAACUACGUG